AUACUUACAUGCCAGUUCAUACUUAUAUGCCAUGAUCAUGAAGGUGGCUUUCCCCAGGCGAGGCUUAUCCAAUGCCCUCUGGAUGUGCUGACCCCUGUGAUUUCCUUAAAUGUGGGAAAUUCAACUGCAUAAUUUCUAGUAGAAUGGGACUUUUUCUUCGCUUUCCCCUG
rnacentral:snRNA from 1 species